GACGAACGCUGGCGGCGUGCUUAACACAUGCAAGUCGAACGGAAAGGCCCUGCUUUUGUGGGGUGCUCGAGUGGCGAACGGGUGAGUAACACGUGAGUAACCUGCCCUUGACUUUGGGAUAACUUCAGGAAACUGGGGCUAAUACCGGAUAGGAGCUCCUGCUGCAUGGUGGGGGUUGGAAAGUUUCGGCGGUUGGGGAUGGACUCGCGGCUUAUCAGCUGGUUGGUGGGGUAGCGGCUUACCAAGGCUUUGACGGGUAGCCGGCCUUAGAGGGUGACCGGCGACAAGGGGACUGAGAGACGCACCAGACUCCUACGGGAGGCAGCAGUGGGGAAUAUUGCACAAUGGGCGGAAGCCUGAGGCAGAAACCCCGCGUGCGGGAAAACGGCCUUCGGGGUGUAAACAGCUUUCGACUGUGACGAAGCGUGAGUGACGGUAAUGGGCAAAGAAGCACCGGCUAACUACGUG
rnacentral:rRNA from 1 species